rnacentral:rRNA from 1 species
AUUGAACGCUGGCGGCAUGCCUUACACAUGCAAAUCGAACGGUAACAGGUCUUCGGAUGCUGACGAGUGGCGAACGGGUGAGUAAUACGUCGGAACGUGCCUAGUAGUGGGGGAUAACUACUCGAAAGAGUGGCUAAUACCGCAUGAGAUCUACGGAUGAAAGCAGGGGAUCGCAAGACCUUGUGCUACUAGAGCGGCCGAUGGCAGAUUAGGUAGUUGGUGGGAUAAAAGCUUACCAAGCCGACGAUCUGUAGCUGGUCUGAGAGGACGAUCAGCCACACUGGGACUGAGACACGGCCCAGACUCCUACGGGAGGCAGCAGUGGGGAAUUUUGGACAAUGGGCGAAAGCCUGAUCCAGCAAUGCCGCGUGCAGGAUGAAGGCCUUCGGGUUGUAAACUGCUUUUGUACGGAACGAAAAGCCCUGGGUUAAUACCCUGGGGUCAUGACGGUACCGUAAGAAUAAGCACCGGCUAACUACGUGCCAGCCGCCGCAGUAA